CUGGCUGGGAUAGCAGUGCGUUGAGAACAUGCACUGCUCUUCAGAUAGUGUUGGUUCGACUGGAGGUGGGUCGAGAUCAAGUUCCACAGCUUCCUCACCUCGAGGGGUUUUGAGCCUGAGAACUGGAGGAGGUGGGUUCAGACCGUCGAGGUUGUGUGAUGUUUGAGGAAGAGGCGCUGAAGCAGCUUGAGGGACAAGCUUGACUCUUUAUAUUGCUCCCUGUGUUUAAAAUGGCGCAUGGCGCUCCAUGGCGAUGAGGUGUGUGCUUUGCGCCUUGCGCCAAGGCGCACCGAGGCGCUCGCCUUGAAGACCACUUGAAAGUUAACGUUAACUAUGUCUUAUUGUCUUGUUAUGUAACAAGCACGAGUGUUGGUGUUAUGUAAAGAAGUUAUAAUAAGAAGAAGAACCUAUGAGACUAGAAAAGAGUAGAUAGUACUCUAACCUUAAGCAAAACACAGUUAGAUCUAUGUUUUGUGAGUAUUUUUGAUGUUUGGUUUUCACUUUCAUAAAGAGGAAGUUAGAGUUUUGAGGAGUAUUUUUGACGUUUGGUUUUAAGAUUGGUUAAUUAGUUAGAGUAGGGUUUCGUUUCUACUUGGUUUAGUACCGGUUAACAUACAGUCUCCAAGGCGCGCCUUUGCAUCGCCUUUGAUGCCACUGCCUUAUGGCCAAAGCGCACCUAGGCGAGCGGCUUGGGGAAACUAGGCUAGCCUCAGGGUUCCAUGGCGGUGGAGCCAUCGCCACAGUGCGCCUUGCGCCUUGGCGCAAAGGGCUAUGGCUUUUUUAAACACAGAUUGCUCCAAAUAAUAUGAGCUACUGAGGUCAAAAGCUUGGAAAUCAACCGAGGAAGACGUGGAGAAAAGCGAUUUUACCUUGUGGAGCAGAAGAAACUCUCAGCCAAAAACUUGAGAUUAGCGAUCACUGUAAAUCUCGAAAUAUCUUGAAAGUUUCCUUAAAAUCUCAGCCGCCAGAGCAGCUGUUCCAAUUGAAAUCAGCUGGUCCAUACAAGAACGGCUGGUCUGGCAAGAAUUCUCGGAAUUUCACUUUUU
rnacentral:lncRNA from 1 species